rnacentral:lncRNA from 1 species
UUCUGAUUAAAGGCAUGAGGCUGUGCGCAGAAACAUUUCAUGCAGCAUGUUGCUUGGCGCAAAAGAGAAAAACAAAAGAAAGAGGAAAAAACAAAACAAAAGUCCAAAAAUCCGUAAACCAAUAAAGGGUUUGCCAUCGCCUGAAAGGUUUUUUUCCUUAACCGCCAAACCACAGGGUGAGGCUUUGUAACACCAACCAAGAACUCCAACUCGGCUCAUCUUGGUCUUCCUGUCGUACUCGUGAUUUUAAUUGCUCCUUCUUAGUGCCUGUUUUGGGGUGUGGAGUGCCAUCCUGUGCGCCCAACGCAGCCGCUUGGAUGCCAUCUGAACCGAAGGUCUCUUCGCCUUGAGGGCCUUGCCCAUUCCUACAGUCAGAACUAGGAGGCCUUGCUGGCCCUAGGUGAUUGGAAUUUGUUGGUGACACCAAUCAUGCCAUCAGCCAGGAAUGGGCCACCAUGGAGUGCAUGCCACUUGCUGACAGAGAGCAAGGGACUUAAUCGCCUCUAGUUACUGGGUGUUAAUGAAAAAACAAAACAAACAGAAAACCAAACAGCACAUUAUGCCGGUAACAGAAUUAGAGGUUGGAUGGCUGCGGUCUCCUAAAUGUGUCG